rnacentral:rRNA from 1 species
GACGAACGCUGGCGGCGUGCUUAACACAUGCAAGUCGAGCGGUAAGGCCCUUUCGGGGUACGACGAGCGGCGAACGGGUGAGUAACACGUGGGUGACCUGCCCUCCAGCUCUGGGAUAAGCCUGGGAAACCGGGCCUAAUACCGGAGUAUGACUCCAUGACGCAUGUUGUGGGGUGGAAAGGCCUUGUGCGGCUGAGGAUGGGCCCGCGGCCUAUCAGCUUGUUGGUGGGGUGAUGGCCUACCAAGGCGACGA